GUUAUGCGACUAACUUCGUUCAGGUGAUGUUCAUUAAGCAAAUUCCAUCACUGGGCAAAGUUUGUCGCAUAAA
rfam:Anopheles gambiae M scf_1925491319 genomic scaffold, whole genome shotgun sequence.